rnacentral:rRNA from 1 species
UACGGAGGGUGCAAGCGUUAAUCGGAAUUACUGGGCGUAAAGCGCACGCAGGCGGUUUGUUAAGUCAGAUGUGAAAUCCCCGAGCUUAACUUGGGAACUGCAUUUGAAACUGGCAAGCUAGAGUCUUGUAGAGGGGGGUAGAAUUCCAGGUGUAGCGGUGAAAUGCGUAGAGAUCUGGAGGAAUACCGGUGGCGAAGGCGGCCCCCUGGACAAAGACUGACGCUCAGGUGCGAAAGCGUGGGGAGCAA